GUGAGUCAUCGAAUCUUUGAACGCAUCUUGCGCCCCUUGGUAUUCCGAGGGGCACACCCGUUUGAGUGUCGUGAAAUUCUCAAACCUUCUUGGUUUCUCGAUCAAGAUGGCUUUGGACUUUGGAGGCAUUUUGCUGGCUUUGCGAAAAGCCAGCUCCUCUUAAAUACAUUAGUGGGGUCCCCUUUGCCGAUCCCCAGGCGUGAUAAGAUGUUUCUACGUCUCGGGAUUUGCUCUGUUCCUUGGGAACCCGCUUAUAACCGUCUCAUGGGAGACAUCGUUCGAGCAUGCUCGACCCACGAACCUUGACCUCAAAUCGGG
rnacentral:rRNA from 1 species